rnacentral:rRNA from 1 species
UACGUAGGGGGCUAGCGUUGUCCGGAAUCAUUGGGCGUAAAGCGCGCGUAGGCGGCCAGAUAAGUCCGGUGUGAAAGUCACAGGCUCAACCUGUGAAUGCCGCUGGAAACUGUCUGGCUAGAGUCCGGAAGGGGCGAGUGGAAUUCCUGGUGUAGCGGUGGAAUGCGCAGAUAUCAGGAGGAACACCGAUGGCGAAGGCAGAUCUCUGGGCCGUAACUGACGCUGAGGAGCGAAAGCAUGGGGAGCGAACAGG